rnacentral:rRNA from 1 species
GCAACGGAUAUCUUGGCUCUCGCAUCGAUGAAG